UUCAAUGGAGAGUUUGAUCCUGGCUCAGGACGAACGCUGGCGGCGUGCUUAACACAUGCAAGUCGAACGAUGAAGUUCC
rnacentral:rRNA from 1 species